rnacentral:rRNA from 1 species
GAUGAACGCUGGCGGCGUGCCUAAUACAUGCAAGUCGAGCGAACGGACGAGAAGCUUGCUUCUCUGAUGUUAGCGGCGGACGGGUGAGUAACACGUGGAUAACCUACCUAUAAGACUGGGAUAACUUCGGGAAACCGGAGCUAAUACCGGAUAAUAUUUUGAACCGCAUGGUUCAAAAGUAAAAGACGGUCUUGUUGUCACUUAUAGAUGGAUCCGCGCUGCAUUAGCUAGUUGGUAAGGUAACGGCUUACCAAGGCAACGAUGCAUAGCCGACCUGAGAGGGUGAUCGGCCACACUGGAACUGAGACACGGUCCAGACUCCUACGGGAGGCAGCAGUAGGGAAUCUUCCGCAAUGGGCGAAAGCCUGACGGAGCAACGCCGCGUGAGUGAUGAAGGUCUUCGGAUCGUAAAACUCUGUUAUUAGGGAAGAACAUAUGUGUAAGUAACUGUGCACAUCUUGACGGUACCUAAUCAGAAAGCCACGGCUAACUACGUG